CGUUUGUGUAUGUUUUAUUUAUACAAGUGGGGUGCGUGUAAGUAAAAUACUUUUCAUCUUUUGAUGUUAUCUUUAUUUUUUAAACUGACUGGCAGCUUAGACCCCUCACGCACGAAAUUAAUGAGGAAGCUGAGAUUACGUGUUACUCAGAAGUGUAAUUAAAUGUUUAAAGCCGCGUUAAGUCACAAGAGGAUUGCCCAAAAGGAGACAAAUUUUCUUUUGUCACCCUGGCAGGUAUAGAAGAUUGAGUGCUAGGAUUAAUCACUCGUAUUUUUAUUGAUAGCGUUGUAUCCCAUGUAACUUGCUUUUCUUUUCCUUUUUCUUUCUUUUUUAAAAAUUUUUGGUGGAGCUCAGGAUUGAACCCAGACCUUUGAAUAGUAGGGAAGCCCUCUACCACUGAGCUGUCGUCCUACUCAGUGUAUUUCCUUUAACAUUUUUGGUUUUACUUUUUUAAGUGCUUUAAAUCCAGUACUUGGAAUUUUGAAAAUGAAUUUAUGUGCAGCUUAAUAUAGUGUAGAAGGUUUGGAGGCAGACCACAAAACUCUGCCUGGCUGAAACUAUUUGACUUUCUGGUUUUUAACAUCUGUAAAAUAAGGAUAUUAAUAGUAAUUUUCUCCUGGGUUGUUACAGAAGUAAUGAGCAAGCUGGCUUUUGUCGUCACUUCCCACAUACUAUAUAAUUAUAUAAAUUUAUGCUUGAGGACAUGGACCAGUUCUUUUAUUUUUUGAAAGUUUAAAAUCAUAAAAUCUAUAAAAUUCAAGUAUGCUGACUUACCUAUCUAAUGGCUGAUAAAUAGUGGGCUGCUAAAACAUUUAUAUGCUUUAUAAAAUUGAAGAGUUGGUGAUGCUUAAGUUUUCUAAAUAUCAAGGUAAAAGUAAAUGUCUACGUAAAAUGUUGCAUAUAUUGGGUUUACAGUUUUAUAACAAUUGACUAAAUCUUUGGACAGCAUAAAAGGAACUUUUUAAGUUUCACAAAGAGACUGCCACACCAUUGAGGAAAAAAAAACUUGAAAAACAUGCUAGACAGUACAUGACCCCAUGCUUCACAAAAAUUAUAAAAAACUAACAUCUUGGGAAAAAGUUAUGAACAGAGAACCAGUCUACGAUUUGUAAAAAUGGCCAGCAUGUGGCAAACCAAAGACAGAAAUUCUUAACUUUCACCUCUUUCACUAUUUCAGCCAAGUUGUUUGGAUCAGUUCAUCUACAGCUCAAAGCAGAAAAUACUGUUUUAAUUAUUCUUUCCAAGCAUUCAUGUACUGUAAUAAAACGAUAGCUUAAUAUUCUACUUAGUUGAGGCAUCGGUCCCAGCAAUAAUAGAAAGGUUUUCAGCUUUUUGAGUAAAAUGACAGGCCUCUCUCUUCUACCCAUAAAAUUAUUAACAUGGGUUAGGCAAACUACAGUGUGGGGCCAAACGUGUUUUCUAUGACCACUACCUACCACUAGACCUGAUUUGAGAAUUGUCAAAUUAUUCCAUGGUCUUCAAAGGGCAUGGUUUUUAUCUCUAUAGUCUUGAAGGUUUUUGUUUUUAGGGGGAGGGGUUUUAAGUACUUUGGAAUUAGAAGAAAACUUUUUUGUAGUUAUGGAAAUUAAAAGUCCUGUUCUCUUUGCUGUGUGAAUUGAUAUUACCUUUCAAAUACAUUUGGUUUUUGUUUGUUUCAUCUUGUGGGUUUUUUAUGGUGUUAGCAAUCAAAGCCAGGCCCUUGCACAUGUUAGACUAGUGGUCUACCCGAGCGUCAUCUCCCAGGGGUCCCUUAGCUACAAUUUUGAAAACAAGAAUCUAUGUGUGGUUUUAAUUCAUAAGCUAGUGGAAGAGAAUAAGCAGAUUUCUGUAAAGUAGAUUUCUGGUGCUAGUGAAAAAUAGAGUCCUCAAAUGCUUUUGUAUCAUCAAUAGUUUGCAUCUCAGCACGAGGUACAGUAUGGUCUCUUGACCACUGGACUUACCCUCUCCUUUCCUGACCACAGUCAUUAGUGGCUGUUUGUUGCCCUUUUCUUGUGUCCCACUUUUCACUGUGGAGAUUUGUAGAAGCUUCUUCCACACUUGUUGGCGUCCAAGACCUCUCUCCAUUCUCUGCUGCAGCUAGAGAUCCAGGCAUCUUCCUCUCAGGACUCCCAGCCCAUGGCCCCCCUAAUUUGCCUUUCUGUGGGCCAAGGUGGAAAGAAUAGGGAAAGUUCCUGGCUCUUUGCCCUGGAACAAGGAUGAUGGGAGUAAAGGUCAUCUGAAUCAGCAGGCCUCUGCCUCUUUCCCAAAAAGUAAUGAUGUUCAAAAGAGCACAUCCAUGUCUGGAGAGAACCCACAGUUUUGUUUUCCUCCAUGGUCCCAGAGUGUACUAGAAGAAAUGUAAGUUCUUGGAGUUUAGACAAAGGAGUGUGACUAAUAACCCUAAAUUGUUGGCAAACUUGGAGUUUCAUCACACAUGGAAGAUCAGUAAUUGGCUGUGCCAGCAUGUCAGCAGUUAAGAAGUGUUGGUCUUUUUUACCACGAUUUAGACAGAUUCCCAGAAGCUGUCUUUGAAUCAAUAGCAAAGUAUCUUAAAAAAAAAAAAAAAGAACUGAUGAUCAUUCCUGAUACUUAUUUGAAAACUAGGGUCAGAUUCUAAAGAGGUGUUGAAGUGGCGCUGAAGCUGGACCAAAUCCAUGUGUGGGCUCCUCUACCAGUUAGUUGACAGCAUCAUGCAAGGCAACUCUCUUCAGCCCUC